rnacentral:lncRNA from 1 species
CUCAAAUUGCUCUCAUUUAGGUUCCUGAUGUUCAUCUGUGAUCUGCAGGGAUUGCUCUGCUGCUCUGAAUUGCACCAGAGCAAUCCCAGCCAACUGAACAGACGCUCCUCUUCACUCCUCUGCUUUAUGGUGAUGAUGCCACUGGAAGAAGCAAUGAAUUUCUGGCACAUUGACUCAAUGCUGGUACUGGACCUUUGGAGACACAGUUACUUCUCCUGAUCACCACUGGGUUCCUUCACAGCCUGCUGUUACUCCUGCUUCUCUGAAGUAUAUACUCUUAUGUUGGAUGGGAAAAUAUGGCCUCUAACAACAUGAGUAACAUCCUUUCACUGCACACCAGUUGCACAUAGAGAAGAGGAAAACUAGAAUGUCAAGAAGGAAAAAGCACCAUCUCUUUUACCUGUCAGUACUAGGACCUACAGACCUUUCCAUCUUAAUUUAUCAUGAAGACCUAGCUAAAAAUACAGUUCCUGACAAGUGGUUCCAAAUAAAUUAAUUGAAAACAUCAACAAGAAAGAUCAUUGACACUUCUGCUAGUUUUACUUUCCUGCAAAAUGAAUCAUUCUGGGUACUGCUGUUUCUUCUGUAGCCUGGAGUAUAACUGUUUACACAUUUAAAAGAGGAUUGUUCAGCUCAUGCAGUCACCUUGGAAAAUGCCAACCAGAUUCCUUUAUGAUGGAACUAAACUGGGAUAUAUUCCCUGGAAGCAUUGUGAAAAUACACCAACUGCAAAAAGGGACAAAGCUCAUGGGCAACACAAGGACCAAUCUAAAUUAAACUCCCCUUGAAAUGUGUACAUCGGGGACACUGGAUCUUAAACAUUAUUUGUUUUGUUUUGCAAAUCUACUGCUUAGCUACACUGCUAGACCAUACAUAACCCUGAAGACCAUAAAGUUUAUUCACUGAAUGCUGAACUUCUCUGAAAAUCUAAAUGUGAGAAUGACAAAAAGCAGUUCACAGACAUUGUAAUUCUUCUCUGCACAGAUAAAUGCACAGUGUCUCAAAAAUACUUCAACAGAGUCUUUUGAAAAUCCAUGGCAUCAUCGGAGAAACAGAUCUGACUGAUUUUGUCUGAAAAAAAAAUUUAGAAGAUGGUUUCAUUUGUAUUUUAGCACAGGAAAUUGUCAGGUGAGCAUACGCAAGGAAGAAAGUACUUUAUAAAAUUAAACUUGAGAAAGGUACCCUUAGAUGGUGCCUUAUGCUGCUGAACAAAAUGGCAUGAGAGGCAGCAUGUCUCUGGAUGGCUGAGCAGGGAUCCUGUUUGGCCUCCUGGGGGUCAUGCUCACUGUGCCUGGGGUGAGAUCUGGCCUUGUCCAUAGCAGUGUGGUGAAAUAGCUCCAGGAUGGGCCCUCUCCAUCUUCCGUAGACGUCUAUGCCUACUGCACUCCUACUGUCUUCAUGCUGCACUCUGUGCAUAGCAGUGAAUGGGUGUAUCACGCUCCACAAAAGGCUUCAGAUGAUCCAAGCUAAAAACCAUACAAAAAUAUAGUAGUUACAUUUUAGGACCAUAAAAGCAGCAAUUGAACCCUGGUUGAUACGCAGGCCAUUUUCACUUCCCACUUGCAAGUGAUUCCACUUGCAGUUUUUCCCAUGGUUUGCUUUAAUCCAAACACCCACUGCAUCAACAAAUACAGAGCUGUAAAUAAAUUCAAGCUAAGAAAAAUAGAAUUUCUAGUCUUGUACGCGUUACAUAAUAGCUCUAGAAAGGCAUUUUCACAUUCUAGUGUCUCCAUUUCAUUGUUAUUGUUGUCAAUUAUUAAUAUAUUAUUGCCUGGUGUAUUUUUUAUAUCCUCAUUGAUGAUUAAGACAUAAGAUAUCUAAAGGUAUCUACAGAGUAAUCUCUGUACUGAAUGGGAGGGACUUGAAUUAAUUUGGGGAAAUGUUUCCUAAGCAAAUGAGUAGGGGAGAAUAUCCGUUUCUACAUUUUGUUUUCCUCCUCUCAUUCCCAAAUGUUUUGCUGAACUUGUUUGGGUGCUCAAAGCUGGGAAAUUUUCAUCAAGUUGCUUCAUUUCUGCAAUGCUGGCAUUUUUGAGUAAUGAGCAUGAGAUAAAAUACUGUAAUAUGCUCCUUGGUUGCAACUUUAACCUUUAGUAAUUUUGUUAGUGUGACACAAAUAUUUUGUUUACCUUUCUAUGAAAACAAGCGAAAGCACUUUGCACAGGGUCUUCCUUCCCACUUCAAAAUCAGUAUCAGAUUUCCCAGCUGUUUUUGCAUAAAAUCAGAACAUCAUUCUAGGCAUUUUCCAUAGGUUCUUC